rnacentral:lncRNA from 1 species
AGCGAGCAGCCAAUCCCAGCAGCGGGAGCCCCGCGCGGACGGGAGCUCAGCCAAUAGGAGGCGUGGAGAGGGCAGCGCACCCCCCCUCCCCUCUUCGCUCGUCAAUCAGCAGCUGCUCCAGGGCUUCGUCCCGAGCAUCAAGUGCCCUCACAUUUUCCAGGCUGAGUGAGUGAGUGGAAGAAAAAGAAGACACGUGGAGCGCUGGUGUCUCACUCGCGGUAAACCGAGGGACUACUUCACCCUGGAGGUGCGCGCUGCCCAGGACAGGAGUCCAGAGAGUCAUUUCCAGCACCAGGACAACAUCUCCUACAACAGCUCAGUGGCUGGAAAGGAAGACACUACCAGAAAGGGAAACGCACAGCACAACUGCAAAACAG